GGGGGGGGGGGGGGGGCACCAGCAGCCUUCUGAACUGAGAGCCGCAGGGGCUGACAGCAUUCCAGGCUGAAGGGCCCAAGUAGACGCUGACCCAUGCAUUUAUUCUCUCUGAACAGCUGCUCAUUAUUAACAAAGGUGUUCGGUAUUUUCUUAUAACACAAAACAUGCCAAGUAGGCAGCUGGAGCCCACUUACCACUGAUCACAAACAACCUAAGAAGUAUUCUCCACGAGGGAGCCAUGGGGGCAGGGUCAGAUAGCUUAAAGAAUUGUUUUAACAGGUGUGUGAUAUUUUUAUAUUGUCCUGCCACUUUGGAAUGCCCCCAGUAGUUUUCUACUGGCGGGGGUGGCUAGGUUUUCCUUGCCAUCAUUCAUCCUAGCAAACAAUAUAUUCUAUCAUACACUCAGCAUUCAUCAGUAUUCAUAAAUUUAACAUUUCCCGACAUCAGUAUUCAUAAACUUAACAUUUCUCAACAACGUGGUUUCACCAUGUUGGCCAGGUUGGUCUGGAACUCCUGGCCCCAAGUGAUCUGCCCGCCUCAGUCUCCCAAAGUGCUGGGAUUACAGGCGUGAGCCAUCGUGCCCAGCCUCCAAGUUGCAUUUGAAAGAUCUCUCCAGUUGCAUGAGGUAAAGGAUUGGAAUGAAGUGAGGGGGUGAGCUGUUACAGGCCUACAUAGCCACCACAGAGUGACAGUCAUAACUAAUUGCGAAGCGUUGUCCUAAGGCUCUACAUAGAUGAUUAUAUUUAAUCUCUGUAGCAGUCCUACAUGGGAGGCACUUACAUUAUUCCCAUUAUAUUGAUGUGAAAAUUGAGGUCAAGUAACUUCUCCCUUUGACUCCAAAGGGAAGUCAGGAGUCAAAUUCCAGGCUCAACUCCAUAGCCUGACUGGUAACCAUUAUGCAAUAAACAGGGAAAAUUAAAAGUGCCUGUUGUAGGAAGAGACUAUUCUGGUAACAGCUAACUCCCAGAAUCCGUUCCUUUUAUUUUUUCCUUGAUGGCCCAUUUUAUUUUGCUCAGCAUAGUCUUUCAUCCUACUUUAGGGUAUCACAUGGAAAAAAUAUGGAACGCUUCACCAAUCUGCGCGUCAUUGCUUCCAAUUUUAGUAUAGGUACUGCCUAACCCAGCACCCAGAUAAAAUGACCAAUCCUUCACACCGGCCUCGGAAAGCCAGCCAAUCAGCAAUCGUCUUACUCCAAGAACCCCGCCUCCAGGGCCAGAGGCUUGGCUUGGAUUUGUCAUCAUCAUCAUCACCAUCAUCAUCGGCUGAGCCCUCACUGCUUCUUGGGAGCCGGGCUCAGCUUCCUGCCUCCACGGGCACUACAGGAGGGAACAAAGUCACAGUCAGGGUCAUGUAGAAAGAGGCCAAGGAUGGAUUCGACCCAG